UACGGAGGGAGCUAGCGUUGUUCGGAAUCACUGGGCUUAAAGCGUGUGUAGGCGGACUUCUAAGUACCUUGUGAAAUCCCACGGCUCACCCGUGGAACUGCUUGGUAUACUGGUUGUCUUGAGCCUUCUAGGGGCGAGUGGAACAAAUGGUGGAGCGGUGAAAUGCGUAGAUAUCAUUUGGAACGCCAAUGGUGAAAACAGGUAGCUGGGGCUGUGCUGACGCUGAGACACGAAAGCCAGGGGAGCAAACGGG
rnacentral:rRNA from 1 species